rnacentral:rRNA from 1 species
GACGAGCGCUGGCGGUGUGCUUAACACAUGCAAGUCGAACGGUAAGGCCCUUCGGGGUACACGAGUGGCGAACGGGUGAGUAACACGUGGGUGAUCUGCCCUGCACUUCGGGAUAAGCCUGGGAAACUGGGUCUAAUACCGGAUAGGACCACUGCCUGCAUGGGUGGUGGUGGAAAGCUUUUGCGGUGUGGGAUGGGCCCGCGGCCUAUCAGCUUGUUGGUGGGGUGAUGGCCUACCAAGGCGACGACGGGUAGCCGGCCUGAGAGGGUGACCGGCCACACUGGGACUGGGAUACGGCCCAGACUCCUACGGGAGGCAGCAGUGGGGAAUAUUGCACAAUGGGCGCAAGCCUGAUGCAGCGACGCCGCGUGAGGGAUGACGGCCUUCGGGUUGUAAACCUCUUUCAGCACCGACGAAGCGCAAGUGACGGUAGGUGCAGAAGAAGGACCGGCCAACUACGUGCCAGCCGCCGCCGUAA